CUCCCCUGAGCCCAGCCAGACCCCGCGCCGCCCGCGCCCCGCUCGACUCCGGAGGCUCCCGCAGCCCCGGCGUCCGCCCCGCUGCCCCCUCCCCCGGGGGCCAUGGGGGCGCCCCCGGGCUACCGGCCCUCAGCUUGGGUGCAUCUCCUCCACCAGCUGCCCCGCGCCGACUUCCAGCUCCGCCCGGUGCCCAGCGUUUUCGCGCCCCAAGAGCAGGAAUACCAGCAGGCCUUGUUGCUGGUGGCGGCCUUGGCGGGCCUGGGCUUGGGCCUGAGCCUCAUUUUCAUCGCUGUCUACCUCAUCCGCUUCUGCUGCUGCCGGCCCCCCGAGCCCCCCGGGUCCAAGAUCCCCUCGCCCGGGGGAGGCUGCGUCACCUGGAGCUGCAUUGUCGCCCUUCUCGCCGGCUGCACUGGCAUUGGCAUCGGUUUCUAUGGCAACAGUGAGACCAGUGAUGGGGUGUCCCAGCUCAGCUCCGCGCUGCUGCACGCCAACCACACACUCAGCACCAUUGACCACCUGGUGUUGGAGACGGUGGAGAGGCUGGGCGAGGCGGUGAGGACAGAGCUGACCACCCUGGAGGAGGUGCUCGAGCCGCGCACGGAGCUGGUGGCUGCCACCCGAGGGGCUCGACGGCAGGUGGAGGCUGUGGCCCAGCAGCUGCAGGGGCUGGCCUUCUGGCAGGGAGUGCCCCUGAGCCCCCUGCAGGUGGCUGAAAAUGUGUCCUUCGUGGAGGAGUACAGGUGGCUGGCCUACGUCCUCCUGCUGCUCCUGGAGCUGCUGGUCUGCCUCUUCACCCUCCUGGGCCUGGCGAAGCAGAGCAAGUGGCUUGUGAUCGUGAUGACAGUCAUGAGUCUCCUGGUUCUCGUCCUGAGCUGGGGCUCCAUGGGCCUGGAGGCAGCCACGGCCGUGGGCCUCAGUGACUUCUGCUCCAAUCCAGACCCUUAUGUUCUGAACCUGACCCAGGAGGAGACAGGGCUCAGCUCAGACAUCCUGAGCUAUUAUUUCCUCUGCAACCAGGCCGUCUCCAACCCCUUCCAACAGAGGCUGACUCUGUCCCAGCGAGCUCUGGCCAACAUCCACUCCCAGCUGCUGGGCCUGGAGCGAGAAGCUGUGCCUCAGUUCCCUUCAGCGCAGAAGCCUCUGCUGUCCUUGGAGGAGACUCUGAAUGUGACAGAAGGAAAUUUCCACCAGUUGGUGGCACUGCUACACUGCCGCGGCCUGCACAAGAGGCUGCCGCUUAGUGAGUUCUGGAGCAAGACUGCCUGGGUUCCAGUCCUACCUCUUGACCAAGGGCAAGUCACCUAACUUCUCUGUACCUCAGUUAGUUCCCUCACUUAUAAACCUGGGAUUGCAAGAGUGGGCACCUGUCCAGCUCCCCUGCGGCGUGUGCUGUUCAUACACUGGACAUGCAGGGGCGGGCAGGGCGCCCAGGAGGAAAGAUAUCUGGUGUCCUGCGGGCUCCAGUUUGGGCUCUGCCGCAGGCUGCACGGCCAUAGGCAGGUGAGCAUGGCUGACUCUGCUUCCCACCCGUACCGUGAGGAAGGACGAGUUUUUUUUUUUUUUUUUUUUUCCACUGGAUGGCUGUGAGGAUUGAAAAAAAAAAUCCCCUUAUAAAACAGUAGGAGCUGGCCGGGCGCGGAGGCUCACACCUGUAAUCCCAGCACUUUGGGAGGCCCAGGCGGGUGGAUCACCUGAGGUCAGGAGUUCAAGACCAGUCUGGCCAACAUGGUGAUACCCCGUCUCUACUAAAAAUAGAAAAAGUUAGCCGGGCAUGGUGGUGGGCGCCUAUAAUCCCAACUACUCGGGAGGCUGAGGCAGGAGAAUCGCUUGAAUCCACGAGGCAGAGGUUGCAGUGAGCCGAGAUUGUGCCACUGCACUCCAGCCUGGGCAACAAGAGCGAAACUCUGUCACAAACAAAACAAACAAAACCAGUAAGAGCUGUUCUAAAACACACACCCGAGGAUGCCUUUCCCCGGCCAGUCUUCCCAUCAAAGACCUCACAUGUGCAUAGCUUCACCAAGUACCUGACCCUGUUGCAUUUCACAGAUGGUAACUCAUCGAUGCCUCAUAACAAUGCUAUGAAGAAGGAACUAUGAUUAUCCCACCUAACAGGUUAGAAGAUGACGAGCAGAGUUGAGGGACCUUCCCAAGGUCACACGGCCAGCCAGCCCGUGCACACUGAGGAGAGAGGGACCUUCCGGAGGGCCCCGCCCUCUGCCCCCCACAGCCAGGCAGUUGCCCAGUUUUGUCCUUUCUGCUUCUGGAAUGUCUUCAUCCAUCUACUCUCAAUGCCCAAUGCCCAAUGCCCAAUGCCCCCGCUGCAGCUGAGGUCUCGUUCUCUCGCCUGCAGAAGGAAGCAUGGCCCCCUCCCCAUCUGUCCCCCCAUGGACCCUAGAAUAGGGCUGCCAGAUUCAGCAAACAGCAAACCACUCUGCUAUAAGUACGCCCGGUGCAAUGCUGGGGAGAUACUUAUACUAGAAAAUUAUGUAUUGGGCAUCCGAUAUUCAAAUGUAACUGGAAGUCCUGAAUUUGAUCUGGCAACCCUAACCAAGAGGGAUUUGUCUACACCAUCGCAUGGAUCUGAGCUUUCCCUGGUCCGGCUCAGACAGACCCCUUCUGUGGCUCCCACUGCCCCCCACCCUUCUGGAACUGGCAUUCCAAAAAGGGAGUGGGGAGUAAGCACUGAAGCCAUGCUCAGAAUUGCUGACUAUUGAGCUGAGAAAGGCUGGGCCCCCACCCAGCCCAGGGCUGCCCUGAUCUUUUGCAUAAGGAUAAACUGGGGUUCAGGCACUUUUCUGUGGCCUAGGCAGAAACUGGGCUGGAAUACAGGCCCCCAGACUCCUUUGUGGAGGGAGGGAAGGGAAGGAAGAGGACAGAUCACUCUACCCUUCCCUACUACUGCACCAUGAGAUCCUGGGUCUCCAUCUCCCCUGUCAGGGUGUCAGGGUCCUCACAGAUGAAAAUCAAGAAUAAGCAGCGGGGCGGGCACGGUGGCUCACGCCUGUAAUCCCAGCACUUUGGGAGACCAAGGUGGGCGGAUCACCAGACGUCAGGAGUUUGAGACCAGCCUGGCCAGCAUGGUGAAAUCCCAUCUCUACUAAAAAUACAAAAAAACUAGCUGGGCGUGGUGGCGCACCCCUGUAUUCCUAGCUACUCAGGAGGCUGAGGCACGAGAAUUGCUUGAACCUGGGCGGUGGAGGUUGCAGUGAGCUGAGAUCGAGCCACUGCACUCCAGCCAGGGUGACAGAGCGAGAAUCCGUCUCAAAAAAAAAAAAAAAAAAAAAAAAAUAGAAGGGGGCUGGGGAUGGGUGCCUCGUGCCUAUAAACCCAGCACUUUGGGAGGCCCAGUGGGGCAGAUCAGAACUCCUUGAGCUCAGGAGUUCAAGACCAGCCUGGCCAACAUGGUGAAACCCCAUCUCUAUUAAAAAAAAAAAAAAAUCAACAAUAAGGGACAUCAGGGUUGAGGAGGAAGGAGGGUGGGCGCUGGAGCCUAAGAGAAUCAGCUCCAAUAUCACUUCUGCCCCUUCCAGACAGUGUGACUCUGGGCAAGUAGCUUGCCUUCUCUGGGCUGCAACUUCUUUCCACCAUUGCAAGAGGCGGCAGCGUGAGAGGGUCAGUGUCUGCCUGGCAGGGCUGUUGUGAGGAUGAAGGACAGUGUGCAUGUACCAAUACUCUCAAAACAGAGCCUCCAUUGCCCCGACAGGUCCCUACCCCCACCCUCACUGGCUUAGUAACAGACACCCCACCUCAACCAGGUGCUCCUGCCAGAAACUCAGGCUCUUAGCUCCCACAACCAUUCUCAGAACAAGUUCUGUUGGCCCUUCCUCUGAAACCUAUAUGGACUCCCACCGCUGCUCCUACCACCAUUGCUGUGCCCCGGUCCCCGCAUCCUAGCCACCAUGACCACAGGGGCCUCUUCCCUGUCCCCCCUCGCCUACCCCCGUCUGUCCUCCAUGCAGCAGCCAGCCAGCCGGGUGAUCCUUUUAAAACACAAUCCGAUCAAGUUCUUCCUCUGCUUAAAACGCUCAGUGAUUCCCCUUAGACAUGGAUUAAAAUCCCUGUUCCUCGCCCUGACCUACAAGGGCCUGGGUGGUCAGUCCUGGAUAUGUCUGCCUCUGGCCUCAGCCCCUCCCAGCUUCCUCUGCACAGCCCUCUGCCUGGCUCUUUCCUGGAGGACCCAUCCCUGCUAGUGGGGUCACCCGACCUACCCCUGCCCUGCACUGACCCCCGCCCUCCUACCUCGUUGCACACCAGCCUCUGAGAUGACCUUCUCGGUCCUGUUUACCAAAGUUUCCUGGUACUGGGGGCAGCGCCUGGGGCAGAGCAGGCUCUGUCAACCCCCACUGAAUACAUACGCUGUGCAGGUGCUUAGCACUCGGUGAAGGCCGUUUCUGCUGAUUUCUUGGGACGACAGUCAUCAGAGCCAGCAUUUGUUGGCAUGUUGAGUGUGUAUUGUGUGUGCGGUGUCAUCUUGAGCCACUGGUUGGUUCUCCUACGUGCUGUUCCACGUGCUUUAGGCCAGUGAUUCUGCCCCCAGGGACACCUGGCCGGGUGAGGAGUUCUGCCCCCAGGGACACCUGGCCGGGUGACGAGUUCUGCCCCCAGGGACACCUGGCCGGGUGACGAGUUCUGCCCCCAGGGACACCUGGCCGGGUGAGGAGUUCUGCCCCCAGGGACACCUGGCCGGGUGAGGAGUUCUGCCCCCAGGGACACCUGGCCGGGUGAAGAGUUCUGCUCCCAGGGACACUUGGCCGGGACUAUGGUGCAGCCCUGCGGGGCCUGUGCGAAGACGCCCUGGAAGGCCUGCUCUUCCUGCUGCUCUUCUCCCUGCUGUCCGCAGGAGCGCUGGCCACUGCCCUCUGCAGCCUGCCCCGAG